rnacentral:rRNA from 1 species
UUGUCUGUUUCUCAAUUCCCCUAAGGUAUGAGAUCCUGUUUGAUGUUUGAAGCCAAGCAGGGCCAUCCCUGGUUAGUACUUGGAUGGGAGACCACCAAGGCAUACCAGGAGCUGUACAUU